UCUAAAAUGGCAGAUCAGUGCAUAGGAUUUAAGCUCCUAAUAGGAAACUCCCUUUCUUUUAGAA
rnacentral:tRNA from 1 species